AUUGAACGCUGGCGGCAUGCUUUACACAUGCAAGUCGAACGGCAGCGCGGGCUUCGGCCUGGCGGCGAGUGGCGAACGGGUGAGUAAUGCAUCGGAACCUGCCCAGUAGUGGGGGAUAGCCCGCCGAAAGCCGGAUUAAUACCGCAUACGACCUGAGGGUGAAAGCGGGGGACCGAAAGGCCUCGCGCUAUUGGAUCGGCCGAUGUCGGAUUAGCUAGUUGGUGGGGUAAAGGCUUACCAAGGCGACGAUCCGUAGCUGGUCUGAGAGGACGACCAGCCACACUGGGACUGAGACACGGCCCAGACUCCUACGGGAGGCAGCAGUGGGGAAUUUUGGACAAUGGGGGCAAGCCUGAUCCAGCCAUGCCGCGUGCGGGAAGAAGGCCUUCGGGUUGUAAACCGCUUUUGUUCGGGAAGAAAUCCUCUGGGCUAAUACCCCGGGGGGAUGACGGUACCGGAAGAAUAAGCACCGGCUAACUACGUG
rnacentral:rRNA from 1 species